AUGGGCUCCCUGCUGAUGCCGCUGCUCGGCAGCGUCGCUGCCAAGGCCGGCGACGCGCUGGUGGCAGAGCUGCUGCGGGCAUGGGGGCUGGAUAAGUCCCGCCGGAAGCUGGAGCGCCACCUCGCGGCCGUCCAGUGCAUCCUGCUGGACGCUGAGGUCAAGAGCCGCACCAACCCUGGUGUCCGCAAGUGGAUCAACGACCUCAAGACCGCUGCCUACCAGGCUGAUGAUGUCCUUGACGAAUUCCGCUAUGAGGCACUGCGCCGCCGUGUUGCCCAGCUCCGUCGUGCCGCCCAGAUCCGUCGCUGCUCCACCGCACGCAAGGUGCUGACCUACUUCACCGUCAAUAGUCCACUUGUUUUCCGUCUUUCCAUGAGCAGAAAGAUGAAGGAGGCCCUUGACAUAAUAGAUGAACUGGUUGUGGAGAUGAACAAUUUUCACUUUCUACAACAUACCGAGACAUCAACCAUUGUUCAUCCGCACACACACUCUCAUGUUGAUGAAUUAGAGGUUGUCGGCAGACAAUAUGACAAGGAACAAGUGGUGAAGAUAUUGCUCGGCCACUCCCAUGUAAGUAACAAUGAUAAGAAUAACGUCAUGGUGCUCCCUAUAGUUGGUAUGGGGGGAAUUGGUAAGACCACACUUGCUCAACUUGUGCAUAAUGACCAGAGAGUGGUGCAACAUUUUGAGUUGGUCUUAUGGGUAUGUGUCUCUGAUAAGUUCAUUAUCGAAGAAAUAAUCCAAUCUAUAAUAGAAGUGGCAACGAUGAAGAAGUGUGAUUUGACUCAGAUGGAGACACUGCAAAAGGAACUUUCUAGAGUUUUGGGCAAGAAAAGGUACCUUCUAGUGCUGGAUGAUGUGUGGAAUGAAGACGAACAGAAGUGGGAUGCUAUGAGAUCACUGCUCUGCUCACAUGCUGGCUCAGGUAGUGCUAUAAUUGUGACAAGCCGCAGCGAUCAAGUUGCUUCUAUUAUGGGCACACUUCCUCUGCAUCAUAUAUCACUUCUAGAUGACGAUCAAUCAUGGGAGCUUUUUCAUAGAAAAGCAUUUGGAAGUGAAGUGGAAAAGAAUGAGGAAUUGAUUUCAGUGGCAAAGAACAUUGUCCGCAAGUGUAAGGGAUUGCCACUUGCUAUCAAGACCAUAGCAGCUUUACUUCGCUCGAAGCAUCAUAGUCAGUGGUCUUCUGUUGUGGAUAGUGAUGUCUGGAAAGAUGACAUCCUCACAGUUACUGGUAUUGUACCUGCACUACAACUUAGCUAUGACCACUUGUCAUCCGAAGCACAAAUAUGCUUCUCCUUUUGUGCUAUUUUCCCCAAGGAUAGCCUGAUGGAUAAAGACACACUAAUCCAGUUAUGGAUGGCAAAUGACUUUAUUGCAUCUGAAACAAGAGGCCAACAAAUUUUCGAUAUGCUGGUUUGGAGAUGUUUUCUGCAAGAUGUGGAGAUUCAAAAGAAUCUGCUCUCCUUAAAUAAGGAUGACUUCAUCCACCGACCAACUACUUGCAAGAUGCAUGAUCUCAUGCAUGACCUUGCUGAGUCAGUAAGCAGAAAUGAUUGCUUCAUUCUGCAAGAAUGUUCAUCACAUCAAAAAAAAAUUCAAGGAUCCACAGAUGCUAGUUCAUUACAACAUGAGGUUCGACAUUUGUCACUUGAUUAUGUCAGUAGCAAUACUAUUGCAGAUAUGAAGGAAAUUCUAGCUCCCCACCCCCGCACAAUAUUAGUCCAAAGGAAGUUGGAGUGGACUGAGACUUCCUUGGAUACGGACAACUCUUUGAGUACGGCCAUGUCAAAAUUCGUGUCCUUGAGAACGUUGAAGACAAUCUCAUUCGAGACAAAUAUGACAUGCUUGAAGCAUCUUCGCUAUCUAGAUUGUUCUUAUUCUAAUAUAUCUUCACUUCCCGAAGCCACUGCCAUGUUAUAUAGCUUGCAAACAUUGAAGCUCAUUGGUUGUCAAAAGCUUAAGUAUUUACCAGAAGGUAUGAGAUAUAUGAGCAGUCUUCGACACAUAUUCCUCCUUAGUACUAAUUCCUUGGAGUACAUGCCAAAAGCUAUUGGUCAGCUGAAUUCUCUACAGACAAUGACAAAUUAUGUCAUUGACAAUGAUAUAGGUCGUGGAAUUGAUCAACUAAAAGAUUUGAAUCUAACUGGUGCUCUUUCUCUGACUAAGCUGAUAAAAGUGCACAGUGUAGAAAAUGCUAAACAAAGCAAUAUGUCUGGCAAGCAUAAUUUGAAACGAUUGUCACUCGAUUGGACAGGCGGAAAUUUUGAUACCAGAGAUGUUGGGAAUGAAGAAGAUACUAAUGCAGAAGGAAUUUUAGAGGCCCUUCGUCCUCACAAAAGGCUUGAAGGUUUAGCAUUAAUAAGAUAUACUGGUGCUAAAUUGUCAUCAUGGAUGCACGACUCUACACUGUUAGAACAUCUGAGUGAGCUUUCUCUGAUUGAAUGCACGAAGUGCAAGGAUCUUCCACCAUUAUGGCAGUUGCCCUCUCUCAGGUACUUGAGUUUGAAUGGUUUGGAUAGCUUGACAAACAUACGCCUUACUAAUGAUGAUAUAGACAUUGGACAAUCAUGUAUUUCUCCACCACCCUUCUUUCCUAAACUAGAAACCAUGAUGGUUGCCUUCAUGCCAAAGCUAGAGAGAUGGCACCAGAAGGUGGGAGGACAAGUAGCAGUUGUAUCAUUCCCUCGGCUCAACUUCCUAAGUAUUUAUGGAUGCCCAAUGUUAGAGACACUACCCGAGGGACUCCUGCAUCAGCUGCCAGCCCUCGAGUCAAUACGUAUCGUUCGCUGCCCUAAAUUGAAGGAGGCCUUCUCAAGAGGAGGCGCCUUUUGGAAUUUGGUUGAAGCAAUUCCAUAUAGUUUGCGUGCCCUUGAUUGA
rnacentral:rRNA from 1 species